rnacentral:rRNA from 1 species
UACGGGGGGAGCAAGCGUUGUUCGGAUUUACUGGGCGUAAAGGGCGCGUAGGCGGUCAGCACAAGUCAGUUGUGAAAUCUCCGGGCUUAACUCGGAAAGGUCAACUGAUACUGUGCGACUAGAGUGCAGAAGGGGCAACUGGAAUUCUCGGUGUAGCGGUGAAAUGCGUAGAUAUCGAGAGGAACACCUGCGGCGAAGGCGGCUCUCUGGGACGGUACUGACGCUGAGACGCGAAAGCGUGGGGAGCGAACAGG